AUGGCGACCGGCGCACGGGUGAGUAACACGUAUCCAACCUACCGAUAAUCUGGAAUAGCCUUUCGAAAGAAAGAUUAAUACCGGAUAGCAUACGAAUAUCGCAUGAUAUUUUUAUUAAAGAAUUUCGGUUAUCGAUGAGGAUGCGUUCCAUUAGUUUGUUGGCGGGGUAACGGCCCACCAAGACUACGAUGGAUAGGGGUUCUGAGAGGAAGGUCCCCCACAUUGGAACUGAGACACGGUCCAA
rnacentral:rRNA from 1 species